rnacentral:misc_RNA from 1 species
CCGAGUUUACAACUCCCAAACCCCUGUGAAACAUACCACUUGUUGCCUCGGCGGAUCAGCCCGCUCCCGGUAAAUAAACGGGAGACGGCCCGCCAGAGGACCCCUAAACUCUGUUUCUAUAUGUAACUUCUGAGUAAAACCAUAAAUAAAUCA